AAAAAUACCUAGACCCCUAACCUAGAGAGGGAGGCAUCAGAAAAAGCGGACAACCGUAAUUCCCAACAAGAAGAGACCACCCCCUUCUCACGUCGUCUUCUUCGACCCCCCCCCCCGUUUUUUAUUUUUCUUCAACAACCAAACCAAAAAUCGCUCAUCCCUCCCCGUUGAACCCCUCUGCUUCGUUUUGAGCAGCAUCCCACGCCGAAACCCCAUAUACAGCCGACCCUACACCAAUUUCCUCCACGUCUGCCAUCUCCGGCGAGCUCCAUCGACGCACACAAAAGAAAAACGGGGAUGGGGACGAAGCGGAAACUGAGAGGAAAGGAACGAGCUUGUAACACCUUAAACUCGGCGCAAAAAAUGACUGAAGACCACCCCCUAAACAGUCCAAAACAUCCAAAUACAUUCAAUGAUAAGUGAGGUCUCCGUUCAAACUUCGGCGAGAUUUUUCUUGUGAGGUUUCUGUCUCAGACUACAGCUAUUGCCAUUUUCAUUUUCUCCCAGUUCACUGUUUGAGUUUCGCAAGUUUGAGUCUCUUAAGGAGCUCGUUUGUUAAAUCUGUCCGAAGCUCUAUUCGUUUGUUGCUCGUUCUGAGGUUGGAUAUUUCAGUGAGGUUUUCCGUUUGAGGUUCUAUUCAGCGAGUCAAGCUUAACUAAGGUCUAUUUUUGUAUUGUUAAAUUUGGAUCUUCGUUUGCAGUUCAUCUUGUACUGAUUUCUGUCAAGUUUGAAUAAAAUAUGGAUGUAUUAGUAUGGUCUUGUAUGUCCGAUUAGCUCUUUGGUUUUGGAAGCUUUGGAUUAUAAAUUUUGCAUACUCUGCUUAUUUGCUUUGGAAAUAGUUCACUGAAAGUUUUGUCUAAUUGCUCUACAAUUAAUUACUUGAAUAACUGAAGCCUCCUCUAUCUUUUAGGAAAUAAGUUUUAAAUUAGCUUUCUCAUCAGUGUUUUUAGAAAUGUGGAUUAGAGUUUAUCCUUGCACAUAUAGCCUAGCUAGAGGGAAAAAAAAGUUGUUUCCUUUUGUGAUUAAUUGGUAGUUCUAGUUAGCUAUCUUGGAAUGGAUAUUUGGCUUAAUAAGUGCAUUUCCAAAAAUUAGCAAGUGUUGAAGGAGGAGAAAAGUUACUGAAUUCUUAUUAUUUUCUGUUUUUGGCUGUACAUUUGUGCUACAUAACAAGGUCCAAAUUUCUUCCUUGGUUUGAAGCUUGAUCAUGCUUAAUUUCAUUUCUGAUUCGUUGGUUUUGAUCUGUUUUGCUCUUCUUCAUUUUACUAGUAGUACCAAAAUUUAGGGCAAAGUGUCAGUUAGGUUUGGAAUUGGUUGCUGAUGAAAUUUUUGUUUCAAUUAAAUGGAGCAUUGGCCAAGGAGUAACAUAUCACGUGAGUUUUGAAUAAGAGUUCUAAUAUGGGCAGAGGUGUUUCAAUUAAUUUUUGACGAAAUGAAUUUGGUUGGCAUAGGUGUUAAUUUGGGCAUAACUAAUGUAGAAAAAUGCAUUGAACUCUCGUAGUUUGCUUUAGGCGUGUUAAUUAAAUAAAAUUAUCACAGCUACGGGUACGAUUCUCGUGACGUAGUUGUGAUGCUUAAUUCCUAAAAUUCGAGUGUGCAUUUCAUGUGACCAGACUCCAAUUUCCAACAAGUUUAAAUAAAGCGUGUCAUGAACCGCAGGUGCAUUUCAUGUAGCGUGGCUUGCGAUGUGUUUUAAAUAACCUUGAAUUUUCAUAAAAAUAUUAAAAGCGGUUAAAAUAUUUAAAAAUGCACAUAGGUUUAAAAGUUCUUUCAAAUCAGAUAAAUAGGCAAAUCAUAAUAGUUGAGUGAUCGUGCUAGAACCACGGAACCCGGGAAUGCCUAACACCUUCUCCCGGGUAAACGAAAUUCCUUACCCGGAUUUCUGUGUUCGCGGACUAUAAGACAGAGUCAAUCUUUCCUCGAUUCGGGAUUUAAAACCGGUGACUUGGGACACCAUAAAUUAUCCCAAGUGGCGACUCUGAUCAUAAAUAAUAAUCCUGUUUCGAUUGUCACUUAAAUUGGAAAAAACUCCCUUAUAUACCCCUUUUGGGGUGUAGAAAAAAAGAGGUGUGACAAUGACCCAAAAUAGCUACUAGCUCCGCAUCAUAAGUCAAAUCAUCAUCCAACUGAAUCGUGCUGAAAUCCAAAACAUGAGACGGAUCCCCAAUAUACUUCCGGAGCAUAGAAACAUGAAAUACUGAAUGGACACUCAACAAGCUGGGUGGCAAAGCAAGCUCAUAAGCCAUCUCUCCAUUCCUCCGAAGCACCUCAAAAGGCCCAAUGAACCGAGGACUCAAUUUACCUUUCAUCCCAUAUCUCAUAACACCCUUCAUGGGCGAAACCUUCAACAGAACCUUCUCACCAACCAUGUAGGACAUAUCUCGAACCUUCUCAUCAGCAUAACUCUUCUAUCUCGACUACGCUAUACGGAGUCUCUCGUGAAUCACCUUCACCUUUUCCAAAGCAUCCUGCAUCAAGUCUGUCCCCAAUAGCCUAGCCUCACCGGGCUCGAACCAACCAACUAGAGAUCUACACCUUCUCCCAUACAAAGCCUCAUAUGGAGCCAUCUAAAUACUCAACUGGUAGCUGUUGUUAUAAGAAAACUCUGCAAGCGGUAGAAACUGAUCCCAUGACCCUCCGAAAUCAAUAACACAAGCACACAACAUGUCCUCCAAUAUUUGGAUAGUGCGCUCGGACUACCCGUCCGUUUGAGGGUGAAAGUUGUGCUCAACUCAACCUGGGUACCCAACUCUCGCUGCACAGACUUCCAAACCUACAAAGUAAACUGAGCGCCCCUAUCUGAAAUGAUGGAAACUGGGACACCAUGCAACCGAACAAUCUCUCGGAUAUAGAUCUCUGCCAACCGCUCUAAAGAAUAAGUAGUACACAGGAAUUAAGUGCGGGGACUUGGUCAGCCAAUCCACAAUCACCCAAAUAGCAUCGAACUUUCUCAAAGUCUAUGGAAGUCCAACAACAAAGUCCAUAGUGAUCCUCUCCCACUUCCACUCGGGAAUAUCCAUCUGCUGAAGCAAGCCACCUGGUCUCUAAUGCUCAUAUUUCACCUACUGACAAUUGAGACAUUGAGCUACAAAUCCCACAAUGUCUUUCUUCAUUCUCUUCCACUAAUAGUGUUGACUCAAAUCCUGAUACAUCUCCGCGGCAUCCGGAUGAAUGGAUUGCAGCGAGCUAUGGGCCUCCUCUAGAAUCAACUCCCGAAGCCCAUCCACAUUGGGCACACAAAUCCGGACCUGCAUUCUCAACACCCCAUCAUCACCAAUGAACACAUCUUUGGCAUUAUCAUGCUGAACUCUGUCCUUAAGGAUAAGCAAAUGUGGAUCAUCAUACUGGCGCUCUCUGAUACGAUCAUAUAAGGAAGACCGAGAAACCACACAAGCCAAUACCCGAUUGGGCUUCGAAAUAUCUAACCUCACGAACCGAUUGGCCAAGGCCUGAACAUCAACUGCAAGAGGUCUCUCCCUAACUGGAAUAUAUAACAAACUCCCCAUACUCACUGUCUUUCGGCUCAAAGCAUCGGCCACCACAUUGGCCUUUUCUGAAUGGUGCAAUAUAGUGAUAUCAUAAUCCUUAAGCAACUCCAACCAUCUCCGCUGCAUCAAAUUAAGAUCCUUCUGUUUGAACAAGUGCUGGAGGCUACAAUGAUCAGUAAAACCCUCACAAGACACACCAUACAAGUAAUGUCUCCAAAUCUUUAAUGUGUGAACUAUGGCAGCGAACUCUAAAUCAUGAACGGGGUAGUUCUUCUCAUGGGGCUUCAACUGACGAGAAGCAUAAGCAAUAACUCUACCCUCCUACAUUAAUACACAACCAAUACCAACUCUCGAAGCAUCACAGUACACGGUAUAUGGACCUGGAGGCUGAUGGACAAACUAACACUAGGAGUUGUNNNNNNNNNNNNNNNNNNNNNNNNNGCAAUAAUAACCCGCCAAACCAAGAAAGCUGCGAAUCUGUGUGGUUGAGGACGGUCUGGGCCAACUAUGAACCGCCUCUAUCUUCUUCGGAUCAAUUUGAAUAGCCUCGUUGGACACCACGUUCCCCAAGAAAGCCACUGAACUGAGCCAAAAUUCACACUUGGAGAAUUUUGCACAAAGCUUGUCCUCUCUCAAUCUCUGUAACACAACUCUUAAAUGCUCCGCAUGCUCCUCCUGACUAUGCGAAUAUACCAGAAUAUCAUCAAUGAAGACUAUGACAAACGAGUCAAGAUAAGGUCGGAACACACUGUUCAUCAAAUGCAUGAACGCUACUGGGGCAUUGGUCAGCCCAAAAGACAUCACCAAGAACUCAUAAUGACUAUAUCAGGUCUUGAAAGUUGUCUUAAGAAUAUCCGAGUCCCUGAUCUUCAACUGGUGAUAACCUGAACGGAGAUCAAUCUUGGAGAACACCCUCGCUCUCUGAAGCUGGUCGAAUAAAUCAUCAAUACAAGGCAAAGGAUACUUGUUCUUAAUUGUUACCUUGUUCAAUUGCCUAUAAUCAAUGCACAUCCUCGUAGUGUCAUCCUUCUUCUUCACAAAUAGAAUUGGUGCACCCCAAGGUGACACACUAGGCCGAAUGAACCCUUUAUCAAGGAGUUCCUAAAGCUGCUCCUUUAAUUCCUUCAACUCCGCUGGUGCCAUACGAUAUGGCAGAAUAGAAAUGGGUUGAGUUCCCGGUACUAGGUCAAUACCAAAAUCAAUAUCCCUGUCUGGUGGCAUGCCCGACAGGUCUGCAGGAAGCACAUCGGAAAAAUCUCUCACAACAGGAACAUAAUCAAUAUUGGGAGUCUCAGCACUAACAUCCCUCACAAAGGCUAGAUACGAAAGAUAACCCUUCCCAACCAUACGCUAGACUUUCAAGAAUGAGAUCACUCUACUGGAAACAUAAUCAGUCAUACUUCGCCACUCAAUCCGUGGCACACUCGGUAUAGCUAAUGUGAUUGUCUUAGCAUGAUAGUCCAAAAUAGCACGACACGGAGAUAGCCAAUCCAUGCUUAAAAUGACAUCGAAAUCCACCAUACACAAUAAUAAAAGAUCCACACGGGUCUCCCGACCCCCAAUAGUCACCACACACGAUCGGUACACAUAGUCUACAAUAACAGUAUCACCCACCGUGGUAGAUACAUAACAGGUGAAGCAAGAAACUCACGGGGCGUACCCAAAUAACGAGCAAAGUAUGAUGACACAUAAGAAAAGGUGGAAUCGAGAUCAAAUAAUACAGAGGCAUUUCUGUGGCAGACUGAAAUAAUACCUAUAAUAACAACAUCUGAAGCAAUAGCAUCGGGUCUUCCUAAAAGUGUAUAGAAACGGGCCUGACCACCACCUGAUCGACCUCCCCCUCUAGGGAGACCCCUAGAUGACUAACCUCCACCCCUAGCUGGCUGGGCGGGUGGUGGUGAAGUAACUGGCACUGAAGCCAAUGAAUUACCCCUCUACUGAGAUGAGCUUGCAAUACGGUGAGGGCAUUGCCUUCAUAUAUGACCCAUCUCACCACACUCACACCAACUCCCAGGUGCUGGAGAAGGGGACUGAAGGGAACCCCUCGCACCGGAGUGACUAGCAGAUGCACUUGACAUAGAAGAGCCCUGAACUGAUGGAGCACGGGACAAACUUUGAGCUGGAAGGGCACUAAGUGAUCACUAGUCCUGAUGAGAACUGUGAGAAUCAUGACCCCAUAAAGCCCCACAAUAACCUGGGCGAGCUGGAUGAGCAUACCUGAAUGGACGGCAUCUGUCGUGCUAAAACUGACCUCUCAAAGGAGUAUCGUUGUAACUACCAGAUCCUCGAGGCCUCUUGUCCUCCCUCUCCUCGCGCUCCUAGCGAUGAACAGACUCAAUCUCUUGAGCAAUGUCUACAACAUCCUCAAAGGUAGCACCAAUCACCCUCUCCCUGGUCAUGAGAAUACGAAGCUGAUAAGUGAGGCCAUCAACAAACCUCCUAAUCCUCUCUCUAUCUAGUGGAACCAUCCAAAUAGCAUGACGAGAUAACUCAGAGAACCUCAUCUCGUACUGCAUCACAGUUAUCUCUCCAUAACUCAACCACUCAAACUCUCUAUGCAGCUCCUCUCUACGGGACUGCGGCACAUACUUCUCUAGAAAGAGAAUGGAAAACUGCUACCAGGUAAGGGGUGCUGCACCAACAGGCCUACGCCUCUCAAAAGCCUCCCACCAAUUGAAGGCGGCUCCAGAAAUCUGAUAAGUAGUGAAAGCGACCCCACUGGUCUCCAGAAUACUCGUUGUACGAAGCAUCCUCUGACACUUAUCCAAGAAACCCUGGGCAUCCUCUCCCUCUGCAACACUGAAGGUCGGAGGCCGAAGUCUACCAAACCUCUCCAACCUACACUGCUCGGCCUUUGGCAUGGCAGGAACUACAUAGCCUUGAGUAGUUGCAACCGGCUGGGCUGGAUGUGCCCCUGGCGUCUGAAGUCCCUGCACGACCUGCUCAGGUGUGCGAGCGGCGGGAGUCUGAUUGCCUCCCCUAGCCUGAGAAGUAGCUGCGACUGUAGUGGCUGAAACCCCCUAAGCUAGGCCAGUGCAAACGGAUAAGAUCUGAGCCAAGGCCUCCUGAAGACUCGGAAUCACAAUGGGCACAGCUGGUGCCUGAGCUGGUGCUGCUGGAACGUCCACAGCUAAGACCUGAUCCUGAAAUGGGGUUACUGGUGGAUCUGCAGGUGUUGCCCUAGCUGUUGUACGGGCCAUACCUCUGCCCCUACUACGACCAUGACCGUGUCCUCGACCUCUAGUGGCCACAGCUAGUGGUAAUGGUCAUCGUCCAUGCUGACCGGUAGCGCGUGUCCUCACCAUUUGUGAGAGAAUUGAAUAACAGAAGUUUAGUACUCGGAUCAACAAAUUCGCACGACAAGAAUUUCAAGAAUAUGAAGUUUUUUCUAAAGGUUCUGUAGCCUCUCGAGGAUAAAUACAGACGUCUCUGUACCUAUCUGCGAGACUCUACUAAACCUUCUCAUGACUCGUGAGAUUAUGUAACCUAGGCUCUGAUACCAACUUGUCACGGCCCUACACUCGGACCCGGUCAUGAUGGCACAUCUCGUGAAGACAAGGCCAGCCGACACUUCCCAUAUCUAAUUAUUAACAGUUAAACCAUAAGAAAUAAAUCUAAAGCAUGAUAAAAUAAUCCAAAGUUAACAGAUAAUAGCAUAAUUCGCGAAAUAUAACCCAACAAUGCCCGAUACCGGGGUGUCACUAGUUAUGAGCAUCUAAACAAUCCGGAAUACACCAAAACUGACUACAGACUUUAAUACAGAAAACCAAGAAAGUGAAGAAGUAAGAUAGGGAAGAGCUCCGGGCUGCGAACGCCAACAGCUACCUAGAGACUCCUCAAAUCUGCCUGAGCCGGAAAUGAUCAGCACUCGGGAGCGGGACUAGAUACACCUAAAUCUGCACACAGGGUGCAGGGAGUAAAGUGAGUACUCCAACUUAGUGAGUAAUAAUCAUAAAUAAAGACUGAAAGUAGGAAAUCACGUAAGGCACAAAAGCAUGUUAUGAUGAAGUAGUAAAACCAUAAAAAAAAUAGUAAACUAGUGAAAGAUAGGUAAAAAUCCUUUAACUCAAAUUUAAC
rnacentral:lncRNA from 1 species